AACGAACGCUGGCGGCAUGCCUAACACAUGCAAGUCGAACGAGACCUUCGGGUCUAGUGGCGCACGGGUGCGUAACGCGUGGGAACCUGCCCUUAGGUUCGGAAUAACUCCCCGAAAGGGGUGCUAAUACCGGAUAAUGUCUUCGGACCAAAGAUUUAUCGCCUUUGGAUGGGCCCGCGUUGGAUUAGCUAGUUGGUAGGGUAAAAGCCUACCAAGGCGACGAUCCAUAGCUGGUCUGAGAGGAUGAUCAGCCACACUGGGACUGAGACACGGCCCAGACUCCGACGGGAGGCAGCAGUAGGGAAUAUUGGACAAUGGGCGCAAGCCUGGUCCAGCAAUGCCGCGUGAGUGAUGAAGGCCUUAGGGUUGUAAAGCUCUUUUACCCGGGAUGAUAAUGACAGUACCGGGAGAAUAAGCUCCGGCUAACUCCGUG
rnacentral:rRNA from 1 species